CGGGUUGUAGCUCAGAUUGGUGAGAGCGCUCGGUUGAAACCCGAGAGGCCCCUGGUUCGAAUCCAGGCAUCCCGG
rnacentral:tRNA from 1 species